GUCUCUUUUGUAGCACCAAGAAUGCAAGAAUGGAGUCAUGAACAUAAUUCAAGUGUGGAUCAACACCAACAUGAAUCAGCCUGGACAGCCAGUGACAAUGGAAGCUGGACAGAUACCCAAAGACAAAAUUAUGACUUCAAUUCAAAUGGGCAAAAUUGUACAUCAAAUAACAGGGCAAUAAUGAAAUCACAACCUGGGUCUACUAGCAUGGAUGCUGAAAGCCAGAUUGCAGAGACCCUUAAACAUGCACCAGGUCUGGUUAGGAGAAAG